AUUGAACGCUGGCGGCAUGCUUUACACAUGCAAGUCGAACGGUAACGGGCCGCAAGGUGCUGACGAGUGGCGAACGGGUGAGUAAUGCAUCGGAACGUGCCCAGUCGUGGGGGAUAACGCAGCGAAAGCUGUGCUAAUACCGCAUACGAUCUAUGGAUGAAAGCGGGGGACCGUAAGGCCUCGUGCGAUUGGAGCGGCCGAUGUCAGAUUAGGGAGUUGGUGGGGUAAAGGCUCACCAAGCCAACGAUCUGUAGCUGGUCUGAGAGGACGACCAGCCACACUGGGACUGAGACACGGCCCAGACUCCUACGGGAGGCAGCAGUGGGGAAUUUUGGACAAUGGGCGCAAGCCUGAUCCAGCAAUGCCGCGUGCAGGAAGAAGGCCUUCGGGUUGUAAACUGCUUUUGUACGGAACGAAAAGGUUUGGGCUAAUACCCUGGGCCGAUGACGGUACCGUAAGAAUAAGCACCGGCUAACUACGUGCCAGCAGCCGCAGUAA
rnacentral:rRNA from 1 species